GAUCAUGGCUCAGGAUGAACGCUAGCUACAGGCUUAACACAUGCAAGUCGAGGGGCAGCAUCAUCAAGGCUUGCUUUGAUGGAUGGCGACCGGCGCACGGGUGAGUAACACGUAUCCAACCUGCCGACAACACUGGGAUAGCCUUUCGAAAGAAAGAUUAAUACCGGAUGGCAUAGUUUUUCCGCAUGGGAUAAUUAUUAAAGAAUUUCGGUUGUCGAUGGGGAUGCGUUCCAUUAGG
rnacentral:rRNA from 1 species